UACGUAGGGGGCAAGCGUUGUUCGGAUUUACUGGGCGUAAAGGGCGCGUAGGCGGCGUGACAAGUCACUUGUGAAAUCUCCGGGCUUAACUCGGAACUGCCAAGUGAUACUGUCGUGCUAGAGUGCAGAAAGGGCAAUCGGAAUUCUUGGUGUAGCGGUGAAAUGCGUAGAUAUCAAGAGGAACACCUGAGGCGAAGGCGGGUUGCUAGGCUGACACUGACGCUGAGGCGCGAAAGCUAGGGUAGCAAACGGG
rnacentral:rRNA from 1 species